rnacentral:lncRNA from 1 species
AACAGGUGCAGAGAGGGGCGUGCUGCAGGUGGAGAGGAGAGAGACGGAGGAAGGGGAAAGAAAAUGAAGAUGGCCGGUCAGGGGAAGGUCGGCUAAGGCAGCGACUUGAGACUCCACCGAGCGUCCCGAGCCCGAGCCCGAGGGAGCCCCAGACGUGUGACAGCAUCAAGCUGGUCCUGCUGCUUCCACACUGGGCUCCUCCCACUGCUCCCACCCCAGGCCGGGGUCUGCAGGGCUCUGCCCCGCGCCCCAGGCCUUAGCAAACAUCCGAGGGAGAAGUGGCAUCACGCACUGGGGCUUCAUGAGGGCAGCGGCCCCCAGAGCCCAGCCUGGUACCUGGCAUGGCCCUGUGAGAACAGGCUGGAAAGUGAGGCCAUUGCAGAACCGCUGCUUCCGUCGCCUGUGC